rnacentral:rRNA from 1 species
UACGUAGGAUCCAAGCGUUGUCCGGAUUUACUGGGUGUAAAGGGUGCGCAGGCGGUCUUGUAAGUCAGGGGUGAAAUCUCACAGCUCAUCUGUGAAACUGCCUUUGAUACUGCAAGUCUUGGAUCCAGAAGAGAGUUGUGGAAUUCCGAGUGUAGCAGUGAAAUGUGUAGAUAUUCGGAAGAACACCAGUGGCGAAGGCAGCAACUUGGUCUGGUAUCGACGCUCAGGCACGAAAGCAUGGGGAUCAAACAGG